rnacentral:rRNA from 1 species
CCUAACACAUGCAAGUCGAGUGCCGUAGCAACAGAGGAGUGGCACAGGAUAGAGUAACACGUGGGAACGUGCACGGGCAGUUCGGAACAACCAAGGGAACCUUGGGCUAAUACCGGACAGAGUCCGUAAGGAGAACGAUUUAUCGCUGAAGGAUCGGCCAGCGUCUGAUUAGCUAGUUGGUGGGGUAAUGGCCAACCAAGGCGACGAUCAGUAGCUGGUCUGAGAGGAUGAUCAGCCUCACUGGGACUGAGACACGGCCAAGACUCCUACGGGAGGCAGCAGUGGGGAAUAUUGGACAAUGGGCGCAAGCCUGAUCCAGCCAUGCCGCGUGGGUGAUGAAGGCCAUAGGGUUGUAACGCACGGGUCGGCGGGGAAGAUAAUGACGGUACCAGCAGAAGAAGCCACGGCUAACUUCGUGCCAGCAGCCGCGGUAACAGAGAAGGGGGCUAGCGUUGCUCGGAAUCACUGGGCGUAACGCGCACGUAGGCGGCUUUUUAAGUCAGGGGUGAACUCCUGGAGUUCAACUCCAGAACUGCCUUUGACAGAUGAGAAGCUUGAGUCCGGGAGAGGUGAGUGGAACUGCGAGUGUAGAGGUGAACUUCGUAGAUAUUCGCAAGAACACCAGUGGCGAAGGCGGCUCACUGGCCAGGUACUGACGCUGAGGUGCGAACGCGUGGGGAGUAACCAGGAUUAGACA